rnacentral:rRNA from 1 species
UACGUAGGGUGCAAGCGUUAAUCGGAAUUACUGGGCGUAAAGCGUGCGCAGGCGGUGAUGUAAGUCAGACGUGAAAUCCCCCGGCUUAACCUGGGAACUGCGUCUGAUACUGGACGGCUGGAGUUUGGGAGAGGGAUGUAGAAUUCCAGGUGUAGCGGUGAAAUGCGUAGAUAUCUGGAGGAAUACCGGUGGCGAAGGCGGUUCUCUGGACAGUUCCUGACACUGAGGCACGAAGGCCAGGGGAGCAAACGGG